ACGUAGGGUCCAAGCGUUAAUCGGAAUUACUGGGCGUAAAGCGUGCGCAGGCGGUUCCAUAAGACAGAUGUGAAAUCCCCGGGCUUAACCUGGGAAUGGCAUUUGUGACUGUGGGGCUAGAGUGUGGCAGAGGGGGGUGGAAUUCCACGUGUAGCAGUGAAAUGCGUAGAGAUGUGGAGGAACACCGAUGGCGAAGGCAGCCCCCUGGGCUAACACUGACGCUCAUGCACGAAAGCGUGGGGAGCAAACAGGAUUAGAUACCCUGGUAGUCCACGCCCUAAACGAUGUCGACUGGUUGUUGGGAUGGAAACAUCUUGGUAACGAAGCUAACGCGUGAAGUCGACCGCCUGGGGAGUACGGUCGCAAGAUUA
rnacentral:rRNA from 1 species